rnacentral:rRNA from 1 species
CCCUUAGAUGUUCUGGGCCACACGCGCGUUACACUGAUGAAGCCAGCGAGCAUAUCGCCUUCACCGGAAGGUGCGGGUAAUCUUGUGAAACUUCAUCGUGCUGGGGAUAGACCAUUGCAAUUAUUGGUCUUGAACGAGGAAUUCCUAGUAAGCAUGAGUCAUCAACUCGUGCUGAUUACGUCCCUGCCCUUUGUACACACCGCCCGUCGCUACUACCGAUUGAAUGGUUUAGUGAGAUCUCGGGAUUGGAGACGUUGCGCCGCAAGGCACAUCGUCCUCGAGAACUUGAUCAAACUUGAUCAUUUAGAGGAAGUAAAAGUCGUAACA